rnacentral:rRNA from 1 species
GGCGAGCGAAAUUGGAAAAGCCUUGCAGUGAUAGCACGCUGGUUAGCAAAAACGGGAUGGAAAGCCCGGCCAUAGCAGGUGAUAGCCCUGUAUGCGAAAGCCAACGUGUGGUACUAGGCUGCAGACAAGUAGGGCGGGGCACGAGAAACCCUGUCUGAACAUGGGGGGACCAUCCUCCAAGGCUAAAUACUCAUCAUCGACCGAUAGUGAACCAGUACCGUGAGGGAAAGGCGAAAAGAACCCCGGGAGGGGAGUGAAAUAGAUCCUGAAACCGCAUGCUUACAAAAAGUAGGAGCCCGCAAGGGUGACUGCGUACCUUUUGUAUAAUGGGUCAGCGACUUACAUUCAGUGGCAAGGUUAACCGAAUAGGGAAGCCGUAGAGAAAUCGAGUCCGAAUAGGGCGAAUUUAGUCGCUGGGUGUAGACCCGAAACCAAGUGAUCUACCCAUGGCC